AAUUCAUGCGCCGGUCACGACUUGAGUUUUUGGGUCGUGACAAGUGGUGGUGGUGGAAGGUUGCAGUGGUGGUGGUGGUGGUGGAGUGGCAGUGGGGGCAGUGGUAGAUAGUGGUAGUAGUUACUGUAAAGAAAAUUUAAUAAAUAGAUAAAUGAUGUAAAAUUUUUUUAAUGGGUACCCAUAUGCAAAUCAACCCACUCAUAUAAUAUGAGGUUUAAUGUUUAUCACCCAUUUAUGACCCAUACCCAUAUAAUGUAGGUGAAUUAGGAUGGAUAAAUGGGUAUGGGUGACGAUUGCCAUUCCUAGAUAUGGCUUUAGGAUAUAUUACUAACUUUUAUUAAUUAGGACAACCUUGCUCCACACUGUUUUUUGGGUGAUCUACUUUCCGUCUCUACAGGUUUAUUCCUUAUUUUUGUUGGUGGAAUUAUUGAAGGUCAUGUGGCUUCUAAGCGAAGCAAGGGAAGUCAUUUCGUGGGUGCCAAAUUUUGAUAGAGUUAAGAACUUGUCAAUGGAAGAAACUGGAAAAUGAGAUGAAGGAAUGGGCCAGUAAUGCAAAUGAAAUAGAAGAGUUUCUAUAACCACUUUUAGAGCAGAGAAAGCAAUACAACCAGGGAAUACAUCCUCUGGCCCAACAGUCGCUACUAGAUAUCAACAAAUAAUACUCAUCUACAAUAAUCCUCCCUCCAUUAUAGGUUUUUUUCCCCUCCUAUUCUGGAUGACGCCAGCCUGCUACCCAUGUGCCUUCUCCAGCUCAUCUCUUCUAGAAGUUUCCUCUUCCCAGCUCACUAUUCCUUCUAGAAGGUUCUCUUGUGGAACCUUCUGGAGCUUCUCCCUUUCCUUUGAGCCUGCACCUAGUGUAGUCCCUCGAUAUCCCUUGGCCUUGCUGGAAUCAGCUUCCCUAUCAAAAUUUCUCUACAAUUUGAUGACAUUUAAGCCAUGGGUACAUAUUGAUAAAUUAUGAGAAGCUAUGCAUCUUCGGAAUUAACAUUAUGAUUUGGUGCUUAAAUUAAAUGUCCUGAAGCUCUACAAGCCUGUUUAUUUGCUUCUUUAUUUAGAUAAAUUUAAAUGACUUGCAAAUGAGAUACACGACCUGAUGAAGUGAUAAUUGGUAUUGGAAGUUGUAUUUGCAUUACUGCUAAAGUUUGACGUGAUGGAGUUAGAUUGUUACUUCUAUGCCCAAUGAAGCUAGAUUGUCAUUUAUGUGGCAGCAGAUAACUAUUUUUCAGCAUAUUACGUGUCAUUGUGGAACAAGAGGGAAGAAACCAUUGUAUUUUGGCAUGUUCAAAUUAUUUGUUGUGCCCUUUCUUUCAUUUUCAUAUUGCUGACUUUCUAAUGA
rnacentral:misc_RNA from 1 species